AGCGAACGCUGGCGGCAGGCCUAACACAAGCAAGUCGAGCGCCGUAGCAAUACGGAGCGGCAGACGGGAGAGUAACGCGUGGGAACGUGCCCUUUGGUUCGGAACAACCCAGGGAAACUUGGGCUAAUACCGGAUAAGCCCUUACGGGGAAAGAUUUAUCGCCGAAGGAUCGGCCCGCGUCUGAUUAGCUAGUUGGUGGGGUAAUGGCCCACCAAGGCGACGAUCAGUAGCUGGUCUGAGAGGAUGAUCAGCCUCACUGGGACUGAGACACGGCCCAGACUCCUACGGGAGGCAGCAGUGGGGAAUAUUGGACAAUGGGCGCAAGCCUGAUCCAGCCAUGCCGCGUGGGUGAUGAAGGCCCUAGGGUUGUAAAGCCCUUUCGGCGGGGAAGAUAAUGACGGUACCCGCAGAAGAAGCCCCGGCUAACUUCGUGCCAGCCGCCGCAGUAA
rnacentral:rRNA from 1 species